rnacentral:rRNA from 1 species
UACGUGGGUGGCAAGCGUUAUCCGGAUUUACUGGGUGUAAAGGGCGUGUAGGCGGGACUGCAAGUCAGAUGUGAAACCCAUGGGCUCAACCCAUGGCCUGCAUUUGAAACUGUAGUUCUUGAGUGAUAGAGAGGCAGGCGGAAUUCCGUGUGUAGCGGUGAAAUGCGUAGAUAUACGGAGGAACACCAGUGGCGAAGGCGGCCUGCUGGACAUUAACUGACGCUGAGGCGCGAAAGCGUGGGGAGCAAACAGG